UACGGGAGGCAGCAGUGGGGAAUAUUGCACAAUGGGCGAAAGCCUGAUGCAGCUAUGCCGCGUGUAUGAAGAAGGCCUUUAGGGGUUGUAAAGUACUUUCAUCGGGGAGGAAAAAACAAAACUAAUAAUUUUAUUUCUUGACGUUACCCGAAAAAGAAGCACCGGCUAACUCCAUGCCAGCAGCCGCGGUAAUACGGAGGGUGCUAGCGUUAAUCAGAAUUACUGGGCGUAAAGAGCACGUAGGUGGUUUUUUUUAAAGUCAGAUGUGAAAUCCCCUGGGCUUAACCUAGGAACUGCAUUUUUGAAACUGAAAUACUAGAGUAUCGUAGAGGGAGGUAGAAUUCUAGGUGUAGCGGUGAAAUGCGUAGAUAUCUGGAGGAAUACCUGUGGCGAAAGCGGCCUCCUAAACGAAUACUGACACUGAGGUGCGAAAGCGUGGGGAGCAAACAGGGAUUAGAUACC
rnacentral:rRNA from 1 species